rnacentral:rRNA from 1 species
GUUAAGCGACUAAGCGUACACGGUGGAUGCCCUGGCAGUCAGAGGCGAUGAAGGACGUGCUAAUCUGCGAUAAGCGUCGGUAAGGUGAUAUGAACCGUUAUAACCGGCGAUUUCCGAAUGGGGAAACCCAGUGUGUUUCGACACACUAUCAUUAACUGAAUCCAUAGGUUAAUGAGGCGAACCGGGGGAACUGAAACAUCUAAGUACCCCGAGGAAAAGAAAUCAACCGAGAUUCCCCCAGUAGCGGCGAGCGAACGGGGAGCAGCCCAGAGCCUGAAUCAGUGUGUGUGUUAGUGGAAGCGUCUGGAAAGGCGCGCGAUACAGGGUGACAGCCCCGUACACAAAAAUGCACAUGCUGUGAGCUCGAUGAGUAGGGCGGGACACGUGGUAUCCUGUCUGAAUAUGGGGGGACCAUCCUCCAAGGCUAAAUACUCCUGACUGACCGAUAGUGAACCAGUACCGUGAGGGAAAGGCGAAAAGAACCCCGG